AACCAUCUAAUCUCUGCAACCAUGAGUGGUGUGACAUGCUGCCUUAGGUUCCCUGGCCAGCUCAAUUCUGACCUCCGGAAACUUGCUGUCAACCUCAUUCCUUUCCCUCGGCUCCACUUUUUUAUGGUUGGAUUUGCUCCUCUCACCUCACGGGGAUCAUAGCAGUAUCGUUCUCUAACUGUCCCAGAACUCACUCAGCAGAUGUGGGAUGCUAAGAACAUGAUGUGUGCUGCAGACCCUCGACAUGGUCGUUACCUCACGGCCUCAGCCAUGUUCAGGGGUAAGAUGAGCACCAAAGAGGUUGAUGAGCAAAUGAUUAACGUUCAAAACAAGAACUCAUCCUACUUCGUUGAGUGGAUUCCAAACAAUGUCAAGUCCAGUGUUUGUGAUAUUCCUCCUCGGGC
rnacentral:lncRNA from 1 species